rnacentral:lncRNA from 10 species
CUACUUCUGAUUCAUCCCUUUCAAAUUUCUCCAACAACAGACUUAAAAUUUUUUUUUUUCUAAGAAUUGAAAGACCUACUUACCUCACUUUUGGGCUUGACUAUUCCAAUGGAAUGCUUCCACAUCUUCAAACUGAUAUCUCUAAUACCAUGGUGGUGAAGCAGGCCUUCAUAAGAGGACUCCCAAAAAUGUACCGCUCCCAGGCCUACUUCUCAAAGAUGCUGGUUUGAUUAAGGUAAAUAUAUCGGUGGGAUAUGAGACAUUUAUAAAAAUCAAAAAUCUUCUAGCAGUGACAACCCAAAUUUGGAUGAGUCCAGGGCUCAAUGACCAUGGAAUCUGACUAUCUGUAUCUGAAGAAGCUGAGACAAGCCAAGACAGCCAACACUCCCAUGAGAUGAAGUUCCUAAGGCUUCAAAUUCCCUGCUGGAGCUGUGCAAGCCUAGUGUGUUCUCAGCAUGCUUAAGCACUUCAGGUAAUUAUGGGUUGCAUUUUCUUCCCCUUGGAGACACCCCUCUUUAUCCUCCAGCUCCAAAAUGAGUGGGUCACUCCCCAGGCCCUCUUCCCAG